GAUGAACGCUGGCGGCGUGCUUAACACAUGCAAGUCGAACGGAAAGGCUCCUGCUUGCAGGGGCACUCGAGUGGCGAACGGGUGAGUAACACGUGGGUGAUCUGCCCUGCACUUCGGGAUAAGCCUGGGAAACUGGGUCUAAUACCGGAUAGGACCAUCGUUUAGUGUCGGUGGUGGAAAGUUUUUUCGGUGUGGGAUGAGCUCGCGGCCUAUCAGCUUGUUGGUGGGGUAAUGGCCUACCAAGGCGUCGACGGGUAGCCGGCCUGAGAGGGUGUACGGCCACAUUGGGACUGAGAUACGGCCCAGACUCCUACGGGAGGCAGCAGUGGGGAAUAUUGCACAAUGGGCGCAAGCCCGAUGCAGCGACGCCGCGUGGGGGAUGACGGCCUUCGGGUUGUAAACUCCUUUCGCCAGGGACGAAGCGAAAGUGACGGUACCUGGAUAAGAAGCACCGGCUAACUACGUG
rnacentral:rRNA from 1 species